rnacentral:rRNA from 1 species
GAUGAACGCUGGCGGCGUGCCUAAUACAUGCAAGUCGAGCGAACAGACGAGGAGCUUGCUCCUCUGACGUUAGCGGCGGACGGGUGAGUAACACGUGGAUAACCUACCUAUAAGACUGGGAUAACUUCGGGAAACCGGAGCUAAUACCGGAGAAUAUAUUGAACCGCAUGGUUCAAUAGUGAAAGACGGUUUUGCUGUCACGUAUAGAUGGAUCCGCGCCGCAUUAGCUAGUUGGUAAGGUAACGGCUUACCAAGGCAACGAUGCGUAGCCGACCUGAGAGGGUGAUCGGCCACACUGGAACUGAGCCACGGUCCAGACUCCUACGGGAGGCAGCAGUAGGGAAUCUUCCGCAAAGGGCGAAAGCUUGACGGAGCAACGCCGCGUGAGUGAUGAAGGUCUUCGGAUCGUAAAACUCUGUUAUUAGGGAAGAACAAAUGUGUAAGUAACUAUGCACGUCUUGACGGUACCUAAUCAGAAAGCCACGGCUAACUACGUG